AUAGGACAUCAAUGUGUCCACUUUAUUUCAUCACUAUUCAAGGAAGUCCAACUAAAAGAUUAACAGUAAUGAAUAAAAAUAUAAGACGAAGGAAAAAGGAAGGAUAGAGCUAUUAGCUUUCAACUAGUAAUACAGACAAAUUUGCAUUAAAAUGUGAUGAUCUGAAGAGGCUAUUCUUAUCUGCGUACUCCAUCCAUGCAUGCCAUACUCUUUUUUUGAAAAGCAUGCCUUAAGUCAUAAAUGCGACAGAAAUUCUUAAUUAAAUUUCCAAGGAAUCUAGAAGUUUCAGGUUCGGAAUUUUGUAGAACACCUUCGUGGAAGAGCAUAGGUUUAUGUAUUUUUUAAUUACUAAUCAUUUGAGUAGCAUAUUUUUCUUUUUCCUCCUCCCUCACCCUUUCCAACAAACAAGGAGUCCAUGAGGGGGAAAAAAGAAAAAAAAAAAGACUGCAAGUGUGUAGGUUUGAAGAAUGUUCAAGUUUUCAAAAUAAGAUUCAUAAUUUGUUCUCAAAUGUCAUAAUAUUAUACUAGAAACUAAUGCGAGUUAUCUUCCUUGAAAGUUUAUGUUGUGGCAUUACUUGUUCAAUAUCAAGGCAGAAAACAGUGAAAAGUUCGGGCAAGAAACAAAUGAAUGAAUUUGUAUCUGGUUUGUAGGAUUUUAACUCAGAAUUAGUCUUUUCUAUUGGAUUUAUGAAGUUAUCCUACUGAUGACAUGCUUCAUCUUUAUACGUAACUACUGCAGUUUUAUGAAUUACAUUUAGCAGUGCUUGAUCGCAUAUGAAUUUAAAUUAGUUUAAGCACUUGGGAGAAUCAAUGAUGCUUUAAAAAAUACAUAGACAUCAUCUUCAAUUUGCCAUCCCUAAAGUUUCUAAGUGACAGAUAGAGCCCCCAGAUAUAUUUAUUUUAUUUGGUACUAAAUGCUUGUGAACUCAAUUUCUUCUGACAAUGGAGGUUACUUCAGUACUAAUUUUUACUCAAAAAAAGGAAAGAAAACAAUCUAGAGGAUAUGCCUUAUAUUUGAACUUUUGGAAGACAUUGCAACUAAAAAAUGCUCAAAUUUAGGGAUGGAUCUUUAGAAUACUUAUUCCCAACAGCCAUGUAAUUUACUCUACAUAUAACAACUUGGAUUUUCUGCGAGGGGUGAAAUAUCAUUUCAGGUGCAAACCUUCCUCUGCAACUUUUCUCACAGAGCCCUUAUAAACCUCAGGUUUUCUAGUGCUCUGUUCCUAUGGCAGUUGCACUAUCCAAAAAAAAAAAGCCGCUGCCAAAAUGCACCCUUAGAAAAAAGUUAUGCUUCCAAACUUCCAAAAAAUGCCUUUCUUCAGCUCUCUGGUUAACACCUCCAUUGUUUAAUGUCAAACCAAACCAAACUAAACUAAGGGGGUGUUUAGGAAUUGAUAGUGGUUUUUUAGCUUUUUA